rnacentral:ncRNA from 1 species
UAAAGGCAUGGUCCCGUCCUUAUUAUCAGCUCUAACCCGACUUACACAUGCAAGUCUCCGCAGCCCUGUGAGUAUGCCCUUAAUCCCCUGCCCGGGGACGAGGAGCGGGUAUCAGGCACAAAUUUUAGCCCAAGACACCUAGCCUUGCCACACCCCCAAGGGAAUUCAGCAGUGAUAAAUAUUAAGCCAUAAGUGAAAGCUUGACUUAGUCAAGGUUAAGAGGGCCGGUAAAACUCGUGCCAGCCACCGCGGUUAAACGAGAGGCCCCAGUUGAUAGUAUAACGGCGUAAAGGGUGGUUAAGGGUGCACGAAAUAAAGCCAAAAGGCCCUUUGGCUGUCAUACGCUUCUAGGUGCCUGAAGCCCAACAUACGAAAGUCGCUUUAAAAUAGCCUGCCUGACCCCACGAAAACUGAGAAACAAACUGGGAUUAGAUACCCCACUAUGCUCAGUUGUAAACUUAGACGUCCAACUACAAUUAGACGUCCGCCCGGGUACUACGAGCAUUAGCUUAAAACCCAAAGGACCUGACGGUGCCUUAGACCCCCCUAGAGGAGCCUGUUCUAGAACCGAUAAUCCUCGUUAAACCUCACCACUUCUGGCCCCUUCCAGCCUGUAUACCGCCGUCGUCAGCUUACCCUGUGAAGGUAAUAAAAGUAAUCAAAAUGGACAUAGCCCAAGACGUCAGGUCAAGGUGUAGCGUAUGAAGUGGGAAGAAAUGGGCUACAUUUUCUAUAAUAGAACACUACGGAUCUGCAACAUGAAAUAGUGCUUGAAGGAGGAUUUAGUAGUAAAAAGGAAGCAGCGUGUCCUUUUGAACCCGGCUCUGAGGCGCGUACACACCGCCCGUCACUCUCCCCUGUCUUAAUGCAAUAUAAAUACUUAAUACCAACGCGCUGACGAGGGGAGGCAAGUCGUAACAUGGUAAGUGUACCGGAAGUGUACUUGGACUAAAU